GACGAACGCUGGCGGCGUGCCUAAUACAUGCAAGUCGAACGCUUCUUUCCUCCCGAGUGCUUGCACUCAAUUGGAAGAGGAGUGGCGGACGGGUGAGUAACACGUGGGUAGCCUACCCAUCAGAGGGGGAUAACACUUGGAAACAGGUGCUAAUACCGCAUAACAGUUUAUGCCGCAUGGCAUAAGAGUGAAAUGCGCUUUCGGGUGUCGCUGAUGGAUGGACCCGCGGUGCAUUAGCUAGUUGGUGAGGUAACGGCUCACCAAGGCCACGAUGCAUAGCCGACCUGAGAGGGUGAUCGGCCACACUGGGACUGAGACACGGCCCAGACUCCUACGGGAGGCAGCAGUAGGGAAUCUUCGGCAAAGGACGAAAGUCUGACCGAGCAACGCCGCGUGAGUGAAGAAGGUUUUCGGAUCGUAAAACUCUGUUGUUAGAGAAGAACAAGGACGUUAGUAACUGAACGUCCCCUGACGGUAUCUAACCAGAAAGCCACGGCUAACUACGUG
rnacentral:rRNA from 1 species